UCUAAAGCGAACAUGAGGGCUAUAAGUACUAUAGUUCUGGUCGGCUUGGCCUUUUUGAUGGCUGCCCGACGAGGUCCCACGUUUUCCAAUCUGCAAAAUGGUCUGCCAUAUCCCAUCUUGGGAUUGACACCCUAAACAUAUCAAUAAAGAAUCAUCAUUAUGCGAAGUUCGCUGUGAAUAUUUAAAGAA